GCUCCUAGUACGAGAGGACCGGAGUGGACGCAUCACUGGUGUUCGGGUUGUCAUGCCAAUGGCACUGCCCGGUAGCUAAAUGCGGAAGAGAUAAGUGCUGAAAGCAUCUAAGCACGAAACUUGCCCCGAGAUGAGUUCUCCCUGAGACUUAGAGUCUCCUGAAGGAACGUUGAAGACGACGACGUUGAUAGGCCGGGUGUGUAAGCGCAGCGAUGCGUUGAGCUAACCGGUACUAAUGAACCGUGAGGCUUAACCUUAC
rnacentral:rRNA from 2 species